UUUACUAAAGGUUGACCGAAGAAAAACAUUCAGCUGCGAAGGUAAGCCGGCGGAGCCGCCACGCCGAAAAAUUCGGCCCCUAGUAAGUUUUUGUUUUUUUAUUUUUUUUGGGCCAACCGAGACCCUUUAACGUGUUUCUUGCAGUGAUGGAUAUAAAACUAGGCAAAACCGGUCAAAAUUAGCCGAAAAUGGUCAGUUCGAGGCAAAUCACCACCGCAAGAUGCGGUGCCGCCAUGCCGAAAUUUUAAAAUUGGCUAGAUAAGGUUUUUAACACUGAUUUUGAGUUUUUUAGGGGUAUUUCUAGGUACAUGAAGUGUGUUUUAAUCUCUAUCGAAAAAUUCAGG
rnacentral:lncRNA from 1 species